UAGUUUCUCUGUCGUCUACAAAAUCAAGGCAUUACAGUUAAGGAAUCAUAUUAUACCAUGAUCAUAUUUUUAAAUCAAUAAAACUUGUUUCCGUGGAUUUCAAACGUAUUGGAAAAAAAAAAAAAAACACACUAAGCUGGUUCUGAUACCAAUGCCAGAAUAUAUAGCAUGCUCCAUGAAUUCAAAAACAAUUACCUGAAUUCUUAUCUGUUGCAUGUGAAAGCGGAUGCGGAAGUGGAAGAACCAAGGUUGAAUCACAGUUCAAUUUGAUCGGAAAUCACAAAUUCGGAAAGCUUUCUCAAAUUACAAUUUAAGACUUACUUGAAAUGAAUUAUAGAGUUCUCAAAAACUAUCUAAUUAUUAUUUCUCUUGCAUUCCUCUCUGCCUUUACCUAUAAGGUUGCAUUCUUUAUAAUCCAUGCUCUCUGCAUCUUGUUACUUUGCUAGGAGAGAAGAUUAAAGAGAGGAAGAGAAAUUAGCAAAAUUCAACAUCAUUCAACUUCCCCUCAACUUUUCUUUAUAACUACGCUACUGGUAGAAAUUACCGAAGUGGUAUUUACUUCAAUAUAGGUUGGAUCGGGGCAGCCCAUCAUGGGCACCCUAUUCGACAACCUGCCAAGAUCUAAUACAAAGUAGGGGUCUGGUUCAGACUCCAGAGUUUUAUCAAUCACGUAGUAUGUGUCAGAUCUGAA
rnacentral:lncRNA from 1 species